AGAGUUUGAUCCUGGCUCAGAAUCAACGCUGGCGGCGCGCUUAACACAUGCAAGUCGAACGAGAAAGUGGAGCAAUCCAUGAGUACAGUGGCGUACGGGUGAGUAACACGUGGGUAAUCUAACUCUUAGUGUGGAAUAACCCUGGGAAACCGGGGCUAAUACCGCAUAAGCCCGAGAGGGGAAAGUCGCAAGACGCUGAGAGAGGAGCCCGCGGCCGAUUAGCUAGUUGGCAGGGUAAAAGCCUACCAAGGCAAAGAUCGGUAGCCGGCCUGAGAGGGCACACGGCCACACUGGCACUGAAACACGGGCCAGACUCCUACGGGAGGCAGCAGUGGGGAAUCUUGCACAAUGGGGGCAACCCUGAUGCAGCGACGCCGCGUGAGCGAUGAAGCCCUUCGGGGCGUAAAGCUCUUUCGGCAGGGACGAUAAUGACGGUACCUGCAGAAGCAGCUGCGGCUAACUACGUGCCAGCAGCCGCGGUAAUACGUAGGCAGCGAGCGUUGUUCGGAGUUACUGGGCGUAAAGGGUGUGUAGGCGGUCGUUUAAGUUUGGUGUGAAAUCUCCCGGCUCAACUGGGAGGGUGCGCCGAAUACUGAGCGGCUAGAGUGCGGGAGAGGAGAGUGGAAUUCCUGGUGUAGCGGUGAAAUGCGUAGAUAUCAGGAGGAACACCGGCGGUGUAAACGGCUCUCUGGACCGCAACUGACGCUGAGACACGAAAGCGUGGGUAGCAAACAGGAUUAGAUACCCUGGUAGUCCACGCCCUAAACGAUGCAUAUUUGGUGUUGGGGCAGUUCAUUCUGUCCGUGCCGGAGCUAACGCGUUAAAUAUGCCGCCUGGGGAGUACAGUCGCAAGGCUGAAACUCAAAUGAAUUGACGG
rnacentral:rRNA from 1 species